rnacentral:rRNA from 1 species
UACGUAGGGACCGAGCGUUGUCCGGAUUCAUUGGGCGUAAAGAGCUCGUAGGCGGCUUGUCACGUCUGCUGUGAAAACUCGGGGCUCAACCCCGAGCCUGCAGUGGAUACGGGCUAGCUAGAGUGCGGUAGGGGAGACUGGAAUUCCUGGUGUAGCGGUGAAAUGCGCAGAUAUCAGGAGGAACACCGGUGGCGAAGGCGGGUCUCUGGACCGAUACUGACGCUGAGGAGCGAAAGCGUGGGGAGCGAACAGG